GACGAACGCUGGCGGCGUGCUUAACACAUGCAAGUCGAACGGAAAGGCCCCUUUGUGGGUACUCGAGUGUCGAACGGGUAAGUAACACUUGAGUAACCUUCCCUUGACUUCGGGAUAGCUUCAGGUAACUGGGGCUAAUACCGGUUAGGAAUCCUUGCGGCAUGGUGGGGGUUGGAAAGCUUAGGCGGCUUUUGCUGGACUCCGGGCUUAUCCUCUUGUUGGGGGGGUAGUGGCUUACCAAGUCUUUGACGGGUAGGCGGCAUGAGAGGGCGACCGGGCACAAUGGGACUGAGAUAGGGACCAGAAUGCUACGGGAGGCAGCAGUGGCGAAUAUUGCAGAGUGGGGGGGAGCGUGAUGCAGCGACGCCGCGUGCGGGAUGACGGCCUGCGGGUUGUAAACCGCUGUCAGAAGGGGAAAAGCUUGUGGUGACGGUACCUGACGAAGAAGCAACGGCUAACUACGUG
rnacentral:rRNA from 1 species